AUGGAGCGACGCGGAACGGCGGCGGUCGUGCUUCUUGCGGUGGCGGCCCUCGCCGCCGCCGAGGCGCAGCUCUCCCCCGCGUUCUACGACGCGAUCUGCCCGGCGCUGCAACCAACCGUGCGCCGCGGCAUGGCGCAGGCGGUGCAGAAGGAGCCUCGCAUGGGUGCCUCCAUCCUCCGCCUCUUCUUCCACGACUGCUUCGCAAACAGCUCCGACGGUUCGAUACUGCUCGACGACACGCCCAGCUUCACCGGAGAGAAGAGCGCGGGGCCGAACGCGAACUCGGUGCGCGGCUACGAGAUUAUCGACGGCAUCAAGGCUCAGCUCGGGGGCCCGAACUGGACGGUGCAGCUGGGGCGGAGAGACGCCCUCACGGCCAGCCCGAACGUGAACCUUCCAAGCCCUCUGUCGUCGCUCCCCGCGCUCCUCUCGUCGUUCAGAGCCAAGGGCCUCGACGCCCGCGACCUCACAACGCUGUCCGGGGCGCACACGGUCGGCUUUGCCCGGUGCUCGAGCUUCCGCGCCCACGUCUACAACGACACGGCCGUAGACUCGACGUUCGCCGCGCAGCUCCGCGCCGGCGUCUGCCCUUGGACUGGCGGCGACGGCAAUCUUGCACCGCUGGAGCUGCAGGGGCCAAACAAGUUUGACAACAAGUUCUUCAGAGACCUGAUCGCCCGGCGCGUCCUUCUUCGUUCGGAUCAGGAGCUCUUCGGCGGCGGCGCCGCUAGCAGCAGCACCACGGACGGCAUCGUCCGGGCGUACGCCGCCAACGCAUCCCUCUUCGCGGACGACUUCGCCGCGGCCAUGGUCAAGCUGGGCAACUUGGCGUUGACCGGGAGCAACGGCGAGAUUCGGCUGAACUGCCGGCGGGCGAAUUGA
rnacentral:rRNA from 1 species